CGAAUUUCCACUUAAGCUCUAUCACAUGCUCGGCACAUGCACCAAAAAAAAAAUAAAAGUAACAAUACGCUUACCUUGUGACUUGAACUCUGGCUCCCCUUAAACAUCCACACGUCACUCCCCAAACACCUAGGUGGUGCCACAUGCCACUUUACCACAGAUCUUUUUGUGUCCUAUUUUACCACCUCAACUGUAAAAGCC
rnacentral:lncRNA from 1 species